AUUUGUUGAAAAUCACCCCUGGCUUUGGUUGUGGCCAGGACUGAGAUUUUGUGCCCAGAACUACCAGGGGCCUCAGUUAACACCUACUGCCCCAGUGUGGGAGGGUCAAAUCCCCAACAGGC
ensembl:snoRNA